UUGUACGAGUGCCCUAACGUGUCGGGGUAGGUCAAUUGGUCCAUAUACUUGAUAUCGUCGAUGAUCCCAUCCCUCUACAGCAAGAGUAUCUACAACCUGGUUCCCUUCUCUAUAGAUAUGCGAAACAGUGUACCUAUCGAAGGAUAUGAUGUUUGUAGUCGAUUUGAGUGUGCCCCGAAUAGCUAAUGGUUCUCCGCCUCUAGUGAUGUAGUAGAUGGCCGUGGUAGAAUUUGACUCAAUUCAAAUGGUUGAAAGUCCAAGUCCUCUAGCCACUAGAAUCCCAUCUAGUACAACUCUGAUAUUAGACUCCAAAUCAAGCAGGGGUUGUACGAUGCUAUGAUCCUUAAUGAUGCCUCCACCACUCGUAAAUUCAUUCUUGAUGCAUCCAUUAGUGUUGAUCUUGUACGAUCUUACUGAUGGAGUGUGCCAAACAACCAUCAUAGGUGGUGGUGGGGUGGGGAGAGUCAUAGAGAUGCCAAAGAGUGGUAUAAUUUCCAAGUCUCCUCGCCAAUACACAGCUCUAAAUAGUCCCCCCAUAUGAAAAAAACAAUGAUAGCGCGAAUGUGUCUACUGCAAACGUACUUUUCAGAAUACCUCUAUCUCUAAAACCUCUCUCCCGAUCUCAUAGGUAUCUAAAAAAUGUUCCCAAAGUUGUGCCAUACCCGAUCGGAGAUGCUAUUGCUAGUGAAGAUGUGACAUAUGGUUUCAAUCUCAGCAUAGCAUCGACAUCGAGAAGCUAACCGACACCCAAUCCUCCUCUGAAUAACCACAUCUACUAAAAUGAUAUCCUACCCUAAUCUCCAGUAGAAAAAUGAAACAGUGGUAGGCAAUAUAGAGCUCGCCAAUAAUCGACAAGAGUCUGGUAGGCAAUAUGGAGCUCCACGAACUAGAUACCAUGCUGAUUUGGUAGCAAAGCUAGUAUUUUUUAUGUAACCUCCAAACAAUACGAUCUGGGUAUCAGCACAUAAAGGUAUCGCCCCUACCUAUUUUGCUAUAUGAGAUGGAAGGACCUGUAAUAAUCAUCCAAAAUCCUACACCCUUUCAGAUGUUUGUUGCCUGUGUGGGAAUAGGGAUGCCAAUGUGGACUCUUCCAUCCAAAAAUCAUGCCAGAAGAAAACUUGACCAGCUCCAAGAUGCCAAGCAACGUGUGGCUCUGUCCGUGGUCCUACUGAUUUCAGCCUUGUCCAAGUGAGAGAGGCUGCUCAAGGAACUGCUGCAAGUGAAGGGUGUGUCCCCAUGCAAUACUUGCCCAGUAAAAAUUGGGCCCAUAUCAAUCUCUGAGAGCAGGAUAGCCACCAUAGCUUCAUGAAGAAGGCAUCCACCACAACUUGCAAUCUCCUGAAGCCUAGACCACCCUUAUUAGUAGUGUGGUUUUCCUUCUAACUUCUCUAAUGUAACCAUCGCACCUGAUCCUUAGAAUCCUGCAAAGACACUUUCAAGUUUUGAUGUGAACCUAUGUAGCAACGAGGGCUACAAAACCCACACAAGAUAGAAACGAAUCCCAAGAAUGCAAAAGAAUAGAAGGUUUUGGAUUAACGCGUGAACAAUAAAUUAAGCAACCGAAGGUAUAUUAAACCACAAACCUCUUAACUACACAGUGAACAAAUCUUACCCAGGAUUGUGAACACUAUAAAAGAAACUCAAUUUCUUGAUAAGUUCGAUUUCUUGCAGCAUAAAGCCUAGGGGAAAAAUUCUCAAUUCAAUUCAUCAUAAAAGUCUUGGUUGUUACAAUGAAAAAAAUAAGAAACCUAUUUAUACUAACCCUAGAAUAAUGUUAAAAAAUGAAAUAUAUCUUCUAAAGAUUACGAAGAUUGCAUAAAAUUGAAAUUCUAACAUAAAUAGGUAACUCGUGAAAAAAGGAAACUUUGCAUCUCGAAAUACACCAUAUGAUUGCAUAGUAUAAUCCAAUGCAGCAGCGUAGUUCAUUUGAAAUCCUUCAAUUUGGUCUCGGGAAUGGUCUAUGCAGUCACAUGCCUUUUAUACUAUGCAGUCGCAUGUUGUUAAAUUUGAAACCUCAUUUUUCUUGUACAAAAUUUUGUGAAGAUUUCGAAUUGUACUCAUGGGCGAAAUUUCGACACCUGAGCUGAAAGUUAUGCCUGUUUUGAUCUAUGCUGUUCGUUUUUCCAUAUAUCUUCCAAAACAUUGAAUCUAGCAGACCAAACAUGAUUCCACCUUCAAGACCAAGAUAUAAGUUGUUAUUUGGCUUGUUAACUUCAACAUUUUGUACUCCAUAGCUCAAUCAAGUAGUUGGAUUACUUUAUUGGCUCUUUGAGGCCUCGAACUUAGCUCGAUUCUUGGUCUUAGCUUCUUAUCAACAUGCGCCGAGUCCUUAAGCUUCUUAAUAAUUUGACCCCGCUCCUGGAUCACAUCAAGAUUCUUCAGAAUAGCCUUAGGAGACUGCAUGAUCUAAAGAAAAUGUAGUGGUAUGGAAGAAACAAUCGACCUCGACAAGGUAAUGCGACCCUCAGGUGAUAGUAAUCGUGAAGCACGGCUUGAGAUCCUGUCCUUGACCCUCUGAAUAAGGUCAUCAUAAAUGAAGCUCAUCUUGAUCCCCUUAAAUAAAGGUAUCCCUAGAUAAGUAAAAGGCUUUCGCUGGUGUCGAAAUCCAGUCAAAAUCUCCAAUCAUCUUAUUUGACUAGUAGAUGCUCAUCUAGGCAGGAUAAAUCCACUCUCAUCUCUAUUUACCAAAAUGCUCCAAACAAUCAAGGACCCUCUUAAUGGAUUGUUUUUGGCCAUUGGUGAAUAUGAUCAUAUCGUCGGCAAAUAAAAAUGAGAGACAAGGGUGCUGCCUCCAUGUCGAUAACACAUACUAGGAUACUCCUAAAAUUUCUGAGUGAACAAGCGUGAGUAGUCUGGAGUAAUAAUGAACAUGGAUGGAAAAAUGGGAUCUCCCUGUCUGAGCCCUCGAGAGGAUAUAGAGAAACGACAUUUUGAUAUGCACUGCCUAAUCUUAUCAAUCCAGAUAUGAUCAAAUCCAAAAGCUUCUAAUAUAGAAUGAUGAAGCCCCAAUCUAUGCGAUCGUAUGCUUUAGCUAUGUCAAGCUUUAGCAUAGAAUUAUCCCCUUGAACUCUAUCAUCCAAGGUGUAGAGAUGUUCCUAAGCUAAUAAGACAUCGUCCCCAAUCAAUCGGUUAGGAAUAAGACCAUUCUAUGGAGGAGAAAUAAUCCAUGGCAACAACGGAUUCAAACGCGUGUUCAAUAGCUUAAUAAUGAGCUUAUUGAACACCGUAAAUAAACUGAUGGGUUUGGAUUCAGUCCAUUUACAAGCACCAUUCCUUUUCAGGAGCAGAACAAUGGUAGUCGCAACAACAAAUUUUGUGGGAGAUGACCUCCAUCAAAGAAAUCCAAUACUGCCUUAUAUACAUCAUCCUGAAUAAUAUCCCAGCAAUGCUAAAGAACAGGGCGAAGAAACCAUCUGGGUCCAUGACACUGUUAGCAUCUAUGCUAAAGACCAUCACAUGUACUUCGUGAAUCAAAGGGGGACGGUUUAGUACCAUAUUGUCAUCCUUUGUCAAAAAGCCUAGGAAUAAUAUCAGGACGGAUAGGAUCCAUUGGCUGAGAAGGCACAGAUAGGAGAUCAUGGUAGAAUGCAAUGGCUGAAGUCUGAAUAUCUGCAGAAGUAGCUAGGACCUCUCUGGCCUAUGUUCUGAUGGACAUGAUACAUGAUUUGAUCCGACGCUCCUGAACCAUUGUAUGGAAAUAACGAGUGUUAUGAUCUCCCUCACAUACCAAACAUGAAUCAACUUUUGCUUCAAAAAAGGUCCGGUUCAGCUCUAGCUGGGCCUACUGGGCCUAAUAUAAUGAGUCACGAUGCUCUGACAUAGGGUCUCUAUCAUAUAUUGUCUCUGCCUCAUCUAACUAGUCCUCAACAUCCCAUACCCGUUGGAAAUAUCUCCAAACACAUGACGAUUCCACCAACGCAAUCCCUAUUUUAGCCAAAAGAACUUCUCCCAAAGAGCGAUCAUUCCUGUAUGAUAUGUAGGAAGUGACCACUUCUGGGAGACAAAGGCUGAAAAAUUAAUGAGCACCCUAUCGAUUCUCGUCCUGAACCGACCAUUGGUCCAGGUAUAUUGAUUCCCAAGGAAGCCAGUGUCCUCCAAACCACAGUCUAACAUCAUAUUAGAGAAAGUAGUAGUGCAUCAAUUGUCAGUAUUUUGACCAAUGCGCUCUCAAUCUUGUGUAAUAACGUUAAAGUCUUCCUCAACUAGCCAAGUGUCAUCUAUACCGAGGGAGCUAUGGUGAAGUCCUGCCUACAAAUCCCUCAUAAUAACAGCCUUGUAGGAGGCGUAGACAAGAAUCAAGUAGAUGGGUCAUGUUAGUCUAGGAUCCUCAACUCUAAAAUAAAGAAACUGAGGAUGAUCAAUAAUAGUAGUAAUACUAGUGCCCACAUUAUAGAAGAGGCAGAUCUAGUUUAACUCAUUAUGAACUCUCGUGUCAAAUAUCAUAUAUCGUCGAAUAUAUGGAAAACUUUGGUGAAGAACAAAAGGCUCCAGUAUAACCAGAAGAUAAACCUGAAUGAGUUUCUUUAUACGCCUACGAGUAUCUAGACUAGCUACACCUCUUACAUUCCAUAUGAUGGAAUUAAUAAAGAUGGGAAAUGUGAGGAGGUAUCAUGUGACUAACUCCUAGUGAUCCUCUUGCUCAAAUGUGGAGUGUCAGUAGCCCGUGGUAUUUCUUCCAUGUAACCUGGACAAAACCAUGCCAACUAAAUCCUUAGCAGAAGACCUACGAAACAUACCCUGCUGAUGGACUUCAAUCCGUGAUGUAGUAUCUGUAUCUGAUUGCUCAGAAUUUAGAGAAGGAAUGGAAGCCUCUAUUGUCUGCUAACAGACGACUGGAGCACUGGAGACAGGAAAACCAAUGCAGCCAGGUGUCGAGCCAGGAAGAUGUCUGACCUCUGUAUCAAAAGCCUUUGAGUCUUGUGCUCGCUUAGUCAUGUCAUGAGCCAAAAGGUCGAUGUGAGCACUAGAAACAUGAAUAGCAAACUAUGAUGGAGGCAAAACUGAUGUAGUGAUACUCGAAGGAGCAACAUUCUCUGGGGCAACUGGCUGAAUCACUGUAGGAGCAACUGAUUGAACCAUUGGAGAAGUAACUGAUGUAGUAGCCAACUGAGUGGAUAGGGUAAUUGAGUGUAGGUCUACAUAAUUCUAAACAUGACCCUGAGUAUUACUGGUGUGGUGAGCAACUGGGUUGGUAUCUGAAGGAGCAGUACUAAUUGUGGAAGGCACCUGCAGGAUAACUGCCUGUCUUUGAGUAUGUAUAACACUAGAAAUCGGAGGGAUAUCAUUCACUAUAGGUGGAAUAAUUUGAGGGACACGGGCACUUGAAGUGCUAGUCUGCCGUCUCUUAUGCUGUUUCCGAACUGGGGUCCACCUCUGACGUGGCUCAACCUCAACCACCUUUCCCUUAACCUUAUCCUUAGCUAGAAUAGCGGGCUGAGGGAUAGGCUAAACAACAAGAGGUGGUACAGGUCUUGUACUAAGCUUAUACUGAUCUUCUAUGUGCCCAAAAUGUCUGCAUCUAUGACAAAAGUCCGGCUUCUUGUCAUAUAAAAAUCAUGCCAAUAUCCUCUCAAUCCAAACUUUGUCAGGGAGAUCAUAUUCAAAAUUUACCUCUGCACAUACCCUAGCCUCACUAGGACAGUGAAGAUCAGUUGUUGCCCCAUCAAUACGCAGUGGAAAACCAAUAGCUUUGUCAAUAGCAUACAGACUGCAGUUAGCUCGGAAAUGAAUAGGCAAAAGAGAAAAAGAUACCCAGACUGGAGUAAUCGGGGUCUCGUAUUGUAGACUAAAACUCGAAAUCCAUUUAAAGACUCUUACAAGAGAACCAUCAAUAUACCAUAAAGCUUGGAGGAAUAACCGUGCAUAGUCAUCCCCAUGCUCCAAAUGGAUCAAAAUGUGUGUGGCAUCAAUCAAACCAAUAGUAUAAUCACCACAAAAUCCAAAACAGGAAAAUUUAUUAUGUACCUUAAGCAUAGGUGGCCUCCGGUGCACACAUUUACCGACAAGCGUAAACUUUUAUGGCUCACCCAGGAGCACAUUAGGUGUCUAAAACAAUUUUCACCCCACUCACAUAGAGAGAUCCACUUCGACUAAAAUGUAUGAACACCGCAUCAUGUAUAAAUUAGCAUAUUCCAAUUUAUAAAUGAUGAUGUCCACAUAGAACUGCUAAAAAUAAAAUCACAAGAAUUAUGCACCUUCCGUUCCUCAGUUUGACCCAAGUUCGAUCGUAUCCAAGCCUCAAAUUGACCAUACCAACUAGCGGAGCUAGAGACUAUGCUGCAAUUUGCAGAAACAGCAUUCUCGAAACUACAUGAAGCCAAGAAUUUCAUCAUACCAUUCUCAUCUCCUUAAACACUGUGCCCCCUCACUCUCUUGUCCCUUUCACCUAACAUCCCUGUGCCGAAAUAAUAUUCUAUAGGUAUAACAUUCACAAUCUUUUUUGUCUAGUCCUAAACUUGUCAAUUGAUCCGCAAACACCAUACCUCGAGAAUUCUUUCUCUUUAUAAUGUGUUUACAUCUCCAAAUAGUUACUACUCCAUACCUCGAGAAUUUACUAUUUUAGAUGAAUUUUUACCCAUUUCGCUAUUUCUGAGGACUUUCAUGCUGCCGGACAGAGGAAAUUUUAGUGACAGAGACAUUUACAGGUAAAAAUUACGAAAGAAAAAGAAUAAUGGAACUCACUCAAUAGUGUGGUGAUAGCUGACAAAGGUAGGCAAUUUAGACAUGUUCUAAAUGAAAAUCUGUGUUAGAAUCAUUAUGGCUCAAGAAAAUUCAUACUAAAAUUUCUUUUCAUUUUAAACUCAAUUUAGAAGUUUCGUGUUGUUUUAUGAUAUGCGUACAGACACCUCCAUAUCUCAUUCUCUAUCAUGCAGUUUAGCACUCUGUACCUCCAGCCAACACCACCAUAACCUUAUGCUCCACUACAAUUUUUCAUGUCCAUCUUUCUGAGUUUAUAUUGAUAAAUAUUUCUGAAUCUUGGGCAAUUGAGCUCCCAAUAUCUACUAAACUACUUUGAAUGUUUCAAAUUGUUAUAUUUUCAUAGAUGGAUCAUCAUUAUUGUUAGUCUUGAGUUAUAAUUAUCUGCAAUGGCUUAUAUUCUUCAUUUUCGAAAGCUUUGCUUUCUUGAGCCUGUCAAUUAUUCUUCAUGAAAUCAAUCAAAAACUAAUGAGCAGAAAUCAAUUGAGACACCCAAAGUUGAGAUUGAAAAUUAAGGUGCUAUUUUUGCUAUGUUAGAAGAGAACUCGAAAAGGAAGAAGCAGAAGAAACAACCCAAAGUAUGGAGUUGCAUGGAUUCAUGCCGUCGCAUAAUUGGGUACAUGAACACCACCUGGUGGUUGCUCUUGUUUCAUUUCAUUGUUUGCCUGAUAAUUUACCAGGACUUAAGGUACCUGAGUCGCCCGGAGCAAGGCUGAAGCGUGAAGGCCUGACCGCGUUCCAUCCUCUUUUUGGUGCUCGACAUUGUCAUCGGAGGACUGGAGCUCCGGGAGGGGAAGCCUUGUUAUGAUGGCCUUUUUCGCAGGCGGCUUUGGCCUAUGCACUGGUUGGAGCAUCUAUCCCUGGAUAAUGAAACAGGGCUUGAUCCACCAAGGAUUUGGGUUCGGGCAGUCCCAGUACUGGUUGCGACUGACUACUUUGCUCCUGGAUAUUUCGUAUGGGCUAUUCUUAUAGAAAAUUUGGCGUAUAUUGACUAUGAGGGCAAGAAUAUGUAUAGGGCUGCUUAUGAUUGGAGAUUAUCCUUUCAAAAUACAGAGAGCUAUGGCUCCUGGUCUUCUAGAUUCUGACUUUCUCGGCCUUCAAACUCUAGAGAGUGUCAUGCGCGUCUCAAGAACAUGGGACUCCAUAAUCUCUUUGAUACCUAAAGAAGGAGAGACCAUUUGGGAUAACUUGGAUUGGUCUCCAAAAGAAGGCCAUGUAUGUGAUUCGGAAACGAAAAAGUACAAUAAUGGGAAGAAUGAAAAUAAUACUAAAGGAGGGACCAGUUUCCGAGUACAAGAACUAACAAAGUAUGGACGAAUUAUUUCUUUUGGGAAGGCAUCGCUAGACUUGCCGUCA